AAUAAGUGCAGUUUUACAUUAUUCAUCUUCAACGUUUAACCGUUCGUUUUAUUUGAAAAAUUUUUGUGAUUACUAUUUUUAUUUUUAUUGUUAUUAGAUGAUAAAACAUAAAUAGUAUAGUACUUUAUGUGUGAUUUUUUUAAAAAAUUUCAUAAAUCUUUCAAAUAAGACAAACGGUCAAACAUUAUACGUGGAUUUUUACGGCUGCACUUAUU
rfam:Oryza nivara chromosome 4, whole genome shotgun sequence.